rnacentral:rRNA from 1 species
CCUACGGGAGGCAGCAGUGAGGAAUAUUGGUCAAUGGACGAGAGUCUGAACCAGCCAAGUAGCGUGAAGGCUGACUGCCCUAUGGGUUGUAAACUUCUUUUAUAUGGGAAUAAAAUGUUCCACGUGUGGGGUUUUGUAUGUACCAUAUGAAUAAGGAUCGGCUAACUCCGUGCUAGCAGCCGCGGUAAUACGGAGGAUGCGAGCGUUAUCCGGAUUUAUUGGGUGUAAAGGGAGCGUAGGUGGGUUUGUAAGUCAGUUGUGAAAUCUUGCGGUUCAACCGUAAAAUUGCAGUUGAAACUGGCAGUCUUGAGUACAGGAGAGGUGGGGGGAAUUCGUGGUGUAGCGGUGAAAUGCUUAGAUAUCACGAAGAACUCCGAUUGCGAAGGCAGCCCACUGGAAUACAACUGACACUGAGGCUCGAAAGUGUGGGUAUCAAACAGGAUUAGAUACCCUUGUAGUC